rnacentral:rRNA from 1 species
GAUAAACGCUGGCGGCGUGCCUAACACAUGCAAGUCGAACGCCCUUUUGCUUUACGGAGGGAGAGGGAGUGGCGGACGGGUGAGUAACAUAUGGGUGACCUACCCCACAGUGAGGAAGACCGGCGAGAAAUCGCCGACAAGACCGCAUACUCUCGGGCUGGUAGAGCGGACCGAGCAAAGUGUCGCCCGCAGGAGCGAGACGCGGAGGGGGGGGCCUGUGGCCGAUUAGCUGGUUGGUGGGGUAAGGGCCUACCAAGGCGACGAUCGGUAGCUGGUCUGAGAGGACGAACAGCCACACUGGGAUUGAGAACGGCCCAGACUCCUACGGGGGGCAGCAGUGAGGAAUUUUCGGCAAUGGGCGCAAGCCUGACCGAGCAACGCCGCGUGCAGGAGGACGCUUUUCGGAGUGUAAACUGCUUUUCUGUGGGACGAGAACGGACGGUACCACAGGAAGAAGCCCCGGCUAACUACGUGCCAGCCGCCGCGGUAAAAC